rnacentral:rRNA from 1 species
GACGAACGCUUGCGGCGUGCCUAAGAAAUGCAAGUCGAGCGGGGUGAGAGCUUCGGUUCGAACCCAGCGGCGAACGGUCGCGUAACACGUAAGCAACCUGCCUCAAAGACCGGGAUAACACUCCGAAAGGGGUGCUAAUACCGGAUGCGGCCUUCCCUCCGCAUGGGGGGAAGAUCAAAUCAGGCAACUGGCUUUGAGAGGGGCUUGCGGCCUAUCAGCUAGUUGGUGGGGGAACGGCCUACCAAGGCGACGACGGGUAGCUGGUCUGAGAGGAUGGUCAGCCGGACUGGGACUGAGACACGGCCCAGACUCCUACGGGGGGCAGCAAUUAGGAAUCUUGCGCAAUGGGGGAAACCCUGACGCAGCGACGCCGCGUGGAGGAGGAAGUCCUUCGGGAUGUAAACUCCUUUUUCCAGGGAAGAAGACCUGACGGUACCGGGGGAAUAAGCCCCGGCUAACUACGUGCCAGCCGCCGCGGUAAUAC